UGGAAGGAUGCAGGUAAAGGCAGGUGUCGGGGAAAACGAAGGAGAUUUUAUUCUAAUAAAAACACAAUGCAAAAGGCAAAAGGAAACAGACCAUGAGGGGUCAAAACCAGGCUGGGAGAGCAGGGGGGAAACACAGGAUCAGCAGGAUUGAUCCUAUACAGCAGGAUCACACACGUAACAAUACAAUGACUGGACUGGGGAGCACAGGACGAAGAGGCACUAUAUGCACCACAGAUGAGGAGCAGACGAGAGGGACCUGGGAUCAUCCACACAAGGGCUGAAACGGGAGGCAGGAUUAAACGAGAAAUAGAUGUAGCUCAUCAGCACCACACCACAGGGAAGACGAGGGAAACGGGCAUGUGGGGAGUGAUAGGCAUGUAGUCCAGGUCACCUGUGUUACCAUAGACUUUAACGUGUCCUGCAGUCUUGUUCCCCCCCCCCACACCCUCUGCUUUUACUCUUCCUCUGUUUCUAUCUUCACUCCAGAUCCCACACAUCUCCAGCCCGCUGUUCCUGGGAAAAGCCACCUGCCAAUCAUCCUUGGAGCAGUAGCCAUUCUCAAGAUCUCCUACAUCACAGAUCACCUAAUAAAUACAGGACCUGUCGACGACUGGAGAAAAGGAGAAACGCUGAAGCACACUGGGCAUUUUGGAAGCAUUUCGUCAUAAUAAAUUACCUUUGCCUUUA